rnacentral:lncRNA from 1 species
AAAUCAAUACCUGAAUUAUUUUUAAAUUUUCUUUACCUACAGCAAUAUUUCUUCCAUGUAAAUCUAGUUGGAUCUUCUUCCUCUUCCUCUUCCUCUUCCUCUUUCCCUUCUCCUUCUCCUUCUUCCUCUUCCUCUUCCCCUUCCCCUUCUCCUUCUCCCUCCUCCUCUUCCUUCUCCUCUUCUUCCUCCUCCUCCUUCUUUCUUCUUUCUUCUUUCUUUUUCUUUUCUUUUCUUUUCUUUUCUUUUCUUUUCUUUUCUUUUCUUUUCUUUUCUUUUCUUCUUCUUCUUCUUCUUCUUCUUCUUCUUCUUCUUCUUCUUCUUCUUCUUCUUCUUCUUCUUCUUUUCUUCUUUUCUCUUCCUCCUCCUUCCUGUUGUAUAUCUUUUGAUCAUCUAAAAUAAUAAAAUUGUUAUAAUUGGUAUCUUUUAGAAGCUUAAAGUUCACAGAGCACUUUACCUACAU